UACAGAGGUCCCAAGCGUUGUUCGGAUUCACUGGGCGUAAAGGGUGCGUAGGUGGUGAGGUAAGUCGGAUGUGAAAGCUCGGAGCUCAACUCCGAAACGGCAUUGGAAACUACCUUGCUCGAGGGUUGGAGGGGGGACUGGAAUGCUUGGUGUAGCAGUGAAAUGCGCAGAUAUCAGGAAGAACACCCGUGGCGAAGGCGGUUCUCUGGGACGGUACUGACGCUGAGACGCGAAAGCGUGGGGAGCGAACAGG
rnacentral:rRNA from 1 species